CAAGUCGAACGCUUUGUCUUUAACUGAUAUGAAGAGCUUGCUCUGAUUUGAUUCUAUCUGACAAAGAGUGGCGAACGGGUGAGUAACACGUGGGUAACCUACCUCUUAGCAGGGGAUAACAUUUGGAAACAAGUGCUAAUACCGUAUAAUACCAACAACCGCAUGGUUGUUGGUUGAAAGAUGGUUCUGCUAUCACUAAGAGAUGGACCCGCGGUGCAUUAGCUAGUUGGUAAGGUAACGGCUUACCAAGGCAAUGAUGCAUAGCCGAGUUGAGAGACUGAUCGGCCACAAUGGGACUGAGACACGGCCCAUACUCCUACGGGAGGCAGCAGUAGGGAAUCUUCCACAAUGGGCGCAAGCCUGAUGGAGCAACGCCGCGUGUGUGAUGAAGGGUUUCGGCUCGUAAAACACUGUUAUAAGAGAAGAACGGCACUGAGAGUAACUGUUCAGUGUGUGACGGUAUCUUACCGGAAAGGAACGGCUAAAUACGUGCCAGCAGCCGCGGUAAUACGUAUGUUCCAAGCGUUAUCCGGAUUUAUUGGGCGUAAAGCGAGCGCAGACGGUUAUUUAAGUCUGAAGUGAAAGCCCUCAGCUCAACUGAGGAAUGGCUUUGGAAACUGGAUGACUUGAGUGCAGUAGAGGAAAGUGGAACUCCAUGUGUAGCGGUGAAAUGCGUAGAUAUAUGGAAGAACACCAGUGGCGAAGGCGGCUUUCUGGACUGUAACUGACGUUGAGGCUCGAAAGUGUGGGUAGCAAACAGGAUUAGAUACCCUGGUAGUCCACACCGUAAACGAUGAGUGCUAGAUG
rnacentral:rRNA from 1 species